UCAUUUGUAACGAACAUUAAUAACUGAAAACAUCUAGGUGAUACAGAUGAUGAUGAUGAUAAUAACACUGAAGACGACACAUGAUGACAGGUAGCCAAGGAGAACAGGCCUGAUGAGACAUUGCAUGUCUAUAUAUGCAUAUUUAUUAUUUGUGCUGAUGCCAUAGCCAUUUAGCUCAAAAUAAGCUCUUUAAUUUGACAGUCCUAGUUAGUGUUUGUUUGUGUGUGUGUAUCUAUUCUGCCUGCACAAUUUAGUAAAAGUUCAUAUUGGAGCGAUUAGUUUGUAAAACAUUUUUGUGGUUUUUUGCAAAGUAUGUAUUACACUAACCAUAUUUUUUUAUAUAUUUUUCAUUUUGAAUCUUUAACAGCAGGAAUUACAUCCUCUGGCCUCACUGCAGGAAGCUGCCGAGCUGUCUUCCUGGGCAUCUGAGAACGUGUCUGCGUGUGUGGAAGAAGAUUCAGACCAUUUUUGGAGCUGAUGAUCCAAUUGUCAGUGGAAAUGAUUAGGAUGGGCUUGGUGGUGAGGAACAUACCUUCACUCCUUCCUGCAGCAUCUUCUGUUCCUCAGAGCUCCUGGAGAUGCUGAGAGCAAGCCACAUUUUGAGCCAGAAAUGGAGCCUGCAUCUGGAAACAUCAUCCUUUACAGAAAGCAUAUGCAGAGAUUGGACAUGAGAUAAGAAAAAAAGAUACCUUUUCAAUAUUUUCCAGGAUGCAGAGUGGGUGAGCAGGACUGGGCUGGGUGACAGUUUUACCAUGAUACAAACUCUUGAUUGCAUGGAGCCGAUUCACGUCACACAAGACACUGUUAACAUCACGCUGGACGACGAGACAAAAUUCUUGCAGAGUUUUUCCUGCCUGAUUGUUGUGAAGCUUACCACCAUUGUUUUACAUUUAAUAACUCUUUGGUCUUUUUUCAUAGUGCUUCGAGCUGUACUAUUCUAAGUGCCUAUACAGAUCCGUGUACCAUGUAUUUCCUACAUAAAGAAAUAAAAAAAAAAACUUUAG